rnacentral:rRNA from 1 species
CAGCCGCCACGGUAAUACGUAGGUGGCAAGCGUUGUCCGGAAUUAUUGGGCGUAAAGGGCUCGCAGGCGGUUUCUUAAGUCUGAUGUGAAAGCCCCCGGCUCAACCGGGGAGGGUCAUUGGAAACUGGGAAACUUGAGUGCAGAAGAGGAGAGUGGAAUUCCACGUGUAGCGGUGAAAUGCGUAGAGAUGUGGAGGAACACCAGUGGCGAAGGCGACUCUCUGGUCUGUAACUGACGCUGGGGAGCGAAGGCGUGGGGAGCGAACAGGAUUAGAUACCCCUGUAGUCCCUGUCUCUUAUAC